UCUGGUUGAUCCUGCCAGUAGUUAUAUGCUUGUCUCAAAGAUUAAGCCAUGCAUGUCUAAGUACACACGAAAUUAAAAAGUGAAACCGCAAAAGGCUCAUUAUAUCAGUUAUGGUUCCUUAGAUCGUUAACAGUUACUUGGAUAACUGUGGUAAUUCUAGAGCUAAUACAUGCAAUUAAAAACAUGAACCUUAUGGGACAUGUGCUUUAUUAGGCUAAAACCAAGCGAUCGCAAGAUCGUUAUAUUGGUUGAACUCUAGAUAACAUGCAGAUCGUAUGGUCUUGUACCGACGACAGAUCUUUCAAAUGUCUGCCCUAUCAACUUUUGAUGGUAGUAUCUAGGACUACCAUGGUUGCAACGGGUAACGGGGAAUCAGGGUUCGAUUCCGGAGAGGGAGCCUGAGAAACGGCUACCACAUCUAAGGAAGGCAGCAGGCGCGUAAAUUACCCACUCCCAGCUCGGGGAGGUAGUGACGAAAAAAUAACAAUUACAGGACUCAUAUCCGAGGCCCUGUAAUUGGAAAUGAGUACACUUUAAAUCCUUUAACAAGGACCAAUUGGAGGGCAAGUCUGGUGCCAGCAGCCGCGGGUAAUUCCAGCUCCAAAUAGCGUAUAUUAAAGUUGUUGCGGUUAAAACGUUCGUAGUUGAACUUUGUGCUUCAUACGGGUAGUACAACUUACAAAUUGUGGUUAGUACUAUACCUUUAUGUAUGUAAGCGUAUUACCGGUGGAGUUCUUAUAUGUGAUUAAAUACUUGUAUCUUUUCAUAUGUUCCUCCUAUUUAAAAAACCUGCAUUAGUGCUCUUUAACGAGUGUUAUUGUGGCCGGUACUAUUACUUUGAACAAAUUAGAGUGCUUAAAGCAGGCUUCAAAUGCCUGAAUAUUCUGUGCAUGGGAUAAUGAAAUAAGACCUCUGUUCUGCUUUCAUUGGUUUUCAGAUCAAGAGGUAAUGAUUAAUAGAAGCAGUUUGGGGCCAUUAGUAUUACGACGCGAGAGGUGAAAUUCUUGGACCGUCGUAAGACUAACUUAAGCGAAAGCAUUGCCAAAGAUGUUUUCAUUAAUCAAGAACGAAAGUUAGAGGUUCGAAGGCGAUCAGAUACCGCCCUAGUUCUAACCAUAAACGAUGCCAGCUUAGCAAUUGGGUGUUAGCUACUUUUAUUGGCUCUCUCAGUCGCUUCCCGGGAAACCAAAGCUUUUGGGCUCCGGGGGAAGUAAUGGUUGCAAAGCUGAAACUUAAAGGAAUUGACGGAAAGGGCACCACCAGGAGUGGAGCCUGCGGCUUAAUUUGACUCAACACGGGGAAACUUACCAGGUCCGAACAUAAGUGUGUAAGACAGAUUGAUAGCUCUUUCUCGAAUCUAUGGGUGGUGGUGCAUGGCCGUUCUUAGUUCGUGGAGUGAUUUGUCUGGUUAAUUCCGAUAACGAACGAGACUCAAAUAUAUUAAAUAGAUAUCUUCAGGAUUAUGGUGCUGAAGCUUAUGUAGCCUUCAUUCAUGUUGGCAGUAAAAUGCUUAUUGUGUUUGAAUGUGUUUAUGUAAGUGGAGCCGUACCUGUUGGUUUGUCCCAUUAUAAGGACACUAGCUUCUUAAAUGGACAAAUUGCGUCUAGCAAUAAUGAGAUUGAGCAAUAACAGGUCUGUGAUGCCCUUAGAUGUCCUGGGCUGCACGCGCGCUACAAUGAAAGUAUCAACGUGUAUUUCCUAGACCGAGAGGUCCGGGUAAACCGCUGAACCACUUUCAUGCUUGGGAUUGUGAACUGAAACUGUUCACAUGAACUUGGAAUUCCCAGUAAGUGUGAGUCAUUAACUCGCAUUGAUUACGUCCCUGCCCUUUGUACACACCGCCCGUCGCUACUACCGAUUGAAUUAUUUAGUGAGGUCUCCGGACGUGAUCACUGUGACGCCUUGCGUGUUACGGUUGUUUCGCAAAAGUUGACCGAACUUGAUUAUUUAGAAGAAAAGUGUAAAAGUCGUGUAAUCAAGCUG
rnacentral:rRNA from 1 species